UAGCAUACCGCACCGUACCAUACAGAAUUUAAUAUUUGUGAGCAUAUUUGCGGACGGCUAUGGAAUGGUAUAGAACAGAAUAGAAGCACAAGAACGUCGAGAAGACGAAGAAGCACAUCUAGAAGAAUUGAAGACAGAACGCGCAAUGACAAAGUAAACUCUUUUAUCGGUAUUCGUAACGUGUGUGCAAGAAGUACUGGAUAAAUUCUAAACGCUGUCGUUGACUUAGAAAGUAUUCCAAAUAAUAAGCACAUGAAGAACAAGAAGUGGGCAAUUCUUCUGUAAGCUUACCGGCAUUCUUUUUUGCCAUUUUCCAUCUGAAGAUCACAGAUCAAGAACCCGAAGAAGUAGGGAAAAUGGGCAACAAAGCCCUCCAUGGCCUUGCAUAACAAAUUGCUAUGUUCAUAAUUGAUUUGAGACUCCUGCAUGCAACAGUUUAGGGGGCAAAAAGAAAGAUACGGCCAGCAGAGAGAUAGGAAGACAGUUGUGAGAAAAGAAAGCGGAAGAGGGGGUGCAAGCUAAAGAGAUUGUACUGAUUAUGCAAUGCCCCCAAAAAGAAUAUCAUUAUUCCUAUCUCCGACUCCGACUUAUACAGACAUAUGAACAUGCAUGGACAACUACAGUGAUGCCUCGGAAGUUGCUUCUAAAACACGUUCGAGUUGUUCAACUCCACCAAUUCCAAUCCAAUAUGAUAAUAGAAAAUUAAUAAAAAGUGUUCCUAUGAACACGAUAGUGCCUAUUGCUUGUUUACACUAACCCGUUCUCUGAUUUACAAGUGGGAAAUUGUUGAUGAAACUCACACCAUUAAUAAAUAAUGAUAUACUGAUUGCAAGGCCCGAUUUCUAGAUGUGUUUAUUAUUUUAAUACUCGGCACUGUCAGGAGAACGGGGUAUAUUCAAUAUACUAUAUUGUAUUUGUGUAACAUCGAGAAGGUUUUGCUGUUUCGAUCCGAUAAAGUGUAUGCAUGUAUGUAUGAUCUUUUCGAUUAGGUUGGAAAUGUUUUGUAAUCAGUUCUUAUUGAAAUCCAAGAUAAGGUAAUCUUAGGCAUAUUAUUUGACCAGAACUUAGGCUUGUUCCAUUGCGUUAUUUUGAAACAUUUCUUAUCUACAGGUCAGCGAAGCAGGUUGUCUCACUUAGCCAGCAACCACUGUGCUGCACAUUGAGACCGCAUAUGAACGGUCGGUGGUAAAGAGAUGGCAAAUCGAGGUGAGGUGAGCUCCGGAAGAAGACACACCAGCACACCAGCACACACACACACACGAGUGAUUACAGUGGCCAGCGUGUCUGUGUGAGGAAAUGUGCACUCACAAGCAUCUGCAAGUUCAACCAUAAUAAAAAAUUAAAGAGAGGAUUGUAAUGUGUUGGACGUUUGUUUGUAUGUUUUGUUUAUUUCUUUUCUUUGCCGUCAGUUGGUGAGAUAUUAAUUUCGAUAGUCGCUCGAUAUCGAUAGCUGCGUUUAGGUAUCAGGUUUAUCUGAUUAUGUAAACAAUUUUACUCAACUGUGCCCCGAUAUGGUAUGCACACAUACAUAAGAGUACCACCGAACCAAACCUAGAUAAAUGCUGAUAUUUUCGUUUCGCGGAAACACUCGAAUAAAUAUUACGAUUAAGAUUCUACAGAACUGAAAAGAAAACAAAAAAGAAAUAGACUUAUAUGCGUGCAAAGUAAAGCUUCGAGCAAACAAAUAGAAGCGCUGAUAAUGAAGAUUAUGGCAAUGAUGAUGAUGACGGAGAGCAAGGAUAUUAAAUCAAAAAAAAGAAAAAGAAAUAUAUACAACAACUAGCGCUACGAAGGGGCUGUAAGCCAAGUCAACAGACCGCUUCCACAAAAGGAAUUGCGUGUGGGCGGGUGGGAGUGCCGAGAAGAAAGGAAACAGCUUGGAAGAACAGGAAUCAAAACUGGCAACAAGGGGAAAAAGCCAGGCCAAAAACUAGAUGAAAAACUUGGCAAUGGCCAAAGAUAAGCCUCAGAUGAGAGGAGCGAAUAGCAAACACAGAACCGAGGAACCGAAGAACGCCGAUGCGAAAGAACCACGAACCCAGAAGCAAAGAAGAAACCAGCCAGAAGAAAGAACCAGGCGCGCUCAAUAGACAAGUUUCAUAUGCAGCAAACUUGCCCAUAAAAGCAUCAAAGAUGCAGCGCCCUCUCUUCACAUCUUCCCAACAGCGUU